UCCAGAGUUUGGAUAUGGGCAGUUGGA
rnacentral:piRNA from 1 species